rnacentral:lncRNA from 1 species
UUUUUGUUGCGCACGGGCCGCCAUAAUGCAGCAGUGGUGCCCACAAAUUUCCCAGCCACCAAAGGACCGCCACUGCUGCCGUGGCCAAUGCAAAUCCGAACGGCAAGGGGCGCAGAUUUAUCCCCACACGUCAGAGGCGCUCAUAAUGACACAAACAUUCUCUUGGCCGUCUGGCCAGCCGUUGCCCAGCAUUGGCUGCCCCCAGCACACACCCGAAAAAAGGUAAAAAAAAGAGACGAAAAAGAGAGCCACCAUCGACACGCAUGCUGU